CCAAGAGUGAGGCACCCAGGACCACAGGCACAGACAACAGGAGGCACCGACACUUGCCCCACGGAAAGGUCAACCUCAGCCUAGAGCCAACACCAAGGAGCGAGGCUGUGACCAAAAAUAUUCCAAAGCUGGGGGCAGUGUGUCAAUUACCAAUGGAAAAACCAUCGAGUUCCUCAGCUUCUGAGAGGCUCAGGAGUCACCACUCUGAGAGAAGAGUGAGCCACAGUUGCAGUGGGAGGCACAGCAGCCACGACUCAACUAACCAACAGCAUCAGACCCAGAGGAAAUGCCGGGGGCCAACACUGUAUUCCCAGAAACAAACUCAGCCUUUGUCACAGGAGAGACCGACCAUAAACACCAGAUCAGGGGACCAAGCUAAAUACAAUCAACACAAUCGAUGUGAACAGGAGGCAAUAGGACCGUUGCCUGACAAGAGACCUCGACAUUAUCACCCCCGAAGAUCAGGAUCGAGGAAAAACAAGGGCAGAACUUCGCACAAGAGAAAUUCCAAGAAAAGGUCAAGAGGAAGAGGCCGAAAAUAGGAACAGAGGAAAAGAGCCAUGUGAAAAAAAAAUACACCUCUUAGGGUCUCCUGAUUCCCUUGACCUCUCCUCCCUCCCCACUAAUGAACAAAAAGACUGUGGGGCUGAGGGAAAGUUUGUUUUGACAUAAUUAAAAAGACCCUAAAUCUUCCCCCUUCUUUUAUUUUAAAUCUGUGCCAAAUUUUCUUCUAAUAGAUUCCUUGAGUUUCCCCCAAGCCAGGACCACUUCCUCGCUGAAAAGUAUAGGGUGUGGAAUUGCUUCCAGAGUCUUAUAUGGCACUAUCCUAACUAAAAGGAUCCUAAAAAUGAGAUUCGUCAUCUAGGUGGCACAGUGAAUAGAGCACCGAGCCUCGAGCAGGAAGAACUGAGUUCAAAUUCAGUCUUAGACACUUACUAGCUGUUUGACUCUGGACAAUUCACUUCAACCUUUUUGCCUCAGUUUGCUCUCUGUAAGAUGAAUUAGAAAAGGAAAAUCUUUACCAAGAAAAACCCAAAAGGGAUCACAGAGAGUCGGACACAACUGAAAAAUAGCUCAACAACAAGGAAAGAUUCUGAGAGACUCAUUCUACCCCUCCAUCAGCCACACUAGACCUGUGGGGAUGGGGAGAAGGAGGAGAGAGGAAGAUCCUGAAACAGCUUUUUUUGGUCAUAGACAUGGCCAGGAUUGAGAAUUGUCUUAAGGAGAUGCAUGGAAGCAGGAGAACAGAGAUCAACCAGAACCCAAACUCUGGGGUUGGAGGUUCUCCUAAUUAGAGUAAAUAGCUAUAGUACUGUGACUAGAAAUUCUAGUACUUAAGUCCAGUUUAGGAGGAUAAUCAUUAAUAAUGGCUAAUAUUUGUGUAACACUUUAAAGUUUGCAAAUAUAACUAUAUUUGUUUGCAACUAUGUUAUUGUACAUAUAUCAUCCCAUUUGAACAUCAUAAAAAAGCCCAAGAGAUUAGAAGAUGUUAUUUUCAUUUUUCAGAAGAAGAAACCAAGACUUGAGGGUUAAAUGACUUGCCCCUUUGACUGCAAAGACAAUAAAGGUGUAAGGUGUGUGAGGUAUGAUUUGAACUCAAGUCUUUUUGAUUCUCAAACCCAGCACUUUUAUCCACUACACUACCUAUCCCAGUUGAUGGAGCUGUACCUCAGCAAGUUAUUUGCAUAGAAAAGACAAAGUCAUUCUUUAUUGUAACAAUCAGGCCCAUACUUGAGACAAGCCUGGAUUAUCCCAUGUGACUAUGAGAGUAAGUCCCUUCCAAUUUAAGGUGUACUGAGUUGAAAAUGCUGAUACCAGAGCAUACUCUUUAGAACUAACUGAGUGAUUCGUGAGAGUGAUUACUGGUGAGUGGCCAAGGUAGACUGGGACUGGAAGAAAUGAAGAAAAUUGGAGGUCACUUCAUGAAGGUAAAGGUGAAGGAAAAAGAUUGAGGUAGGUUACUGGAAGGGUUACUGAGGUAGGUUAUUGGAAGGGAAGGAAGGAUGACCUGAAGGUCCAUGGAUGAGUUGAACAGGAUGGAGUGCAAGUUAAAGAGGUUCCUGGGUGGUGAUGGUAGUGUGGUAGAAAGUGGGAGUUUUAAAGUGGCAGUAGGGGAGCAAGAACUGAGCCAAUUCCUCCUCCUGGUUUUAUGUGUUAAGAAUAGUAUAAGAGAAGAAAUGGUCAACUUUGAAGAAAUCAACUUUAUAUCUCCAGCUAAUGGUGCCUGGCACAUAGGUGAUAUAUAUAUAUGACAAUUAGGGUUAAAUGACUUGUCUAGGGUCACAUAGCUACAAAGUGUUAAGUGUCUGAUAUAAGAUUUGAACUCAGGUCCUCUUAACUUCAGGGUUGGUGCUCUUUCCACUGUGCCACCUAGCUGCCCCAUAAUUAAUAAAUUCUUGUUGUUUAUUUGGAAGCAUACAAGGAGGGAAGAAAGGUGGGGGAGGAAAAAACAGAAAGAUAGAGUGAGGAGAAAAAGGGGGAGAAAGCGGUAAGGGGGAAGGAGAAAGGAAGGGAGGAAGAAAAAGGAAAAAAAAGCUUGUAGUAGAAGAAAAAGAUGGGAUCAGUGAGGAAGGCUUAGUCUUGGCAAGGAAGUGGGCCAUCUCAUCCUCUGGUACUGGAACAAUGGAGAAGCCCAUGGAAUGGAAGACAUAGACACAUUUUGUGGUAGGGAAGAGGGGAGAUGAAGCUGCUUACAGUGAGUGUAGAUAGGUGUUCUUGACCUCAGCAAAAUUAUAAAGUGAGGUCAUUCAUACCUGUGGUAUCAAACUCACCCAGAAACUGGAGUCACUGAGCAGUAUAGUGGCUUAGAAAACCACCUAUUAGCACCUAUCUUCUAUUAUCAUUUAUUUCAUUAAAUAUUCCCCAAUUAUAUUUUAAUCUGGUUCAUACCACUCCAGAGUAUUGAGUAUCAGGGGCCACAUGUUUGACUCCUCUGAAAUAAUUUGAAAGUUGGAGAAAAGAGGUUUAGAACAGAUGGAUGAGAGGAGUAUGCUAGCAAGUCAAUCAGAAAUGAAAAAAGGAUUGUAUGGUUAGCUAGCAUGAGUUUAUAGUGAGCUCAGCAAGAUUUAUUGAAUUCUCUAGCAGCAGCAGGAGGUGGGUGUUAAGGUAACAAAAAAAGCUGAUAAUGGGAUUAUAGAAAGGCAGAAUUUAGAUUUAACCCAUGAUCCAUGGCCCUCAAGAGACUUCACAUGAAUUGGGACCAAUCUCUGGGGCUGACCCCAGAAAGGAAUCUUUCUGGCUCAGUAUAUCUACUAAUGA
ensembl:lncRNA